AACGAACGUUAGCGGCGCGCUUAACACAUGCAAGUCGAACGGAACCUUCGGGUUUAGUGGCGAACGGGUGAGUAAUACCUAGGAAUCUGCCUAUUAGUGGGGGAUAACGGCUCGAAAGGGUCGCUAAUACCGCAUACGUCCUACGGGAGAAAGAGGGGGAUCUUCGGACCUCUUGCUAAUAGAUGAGCCUAGGCCGGAUUAGCUAGUUGGUAGGGUAAAGGCCUACCAAGGCGACGAUCCGUAGCUGGGUCUGAGAGGAUGAUCAGCCACACUGGAACUGAGACACGGUCCAGACUCCUACGGGAGGCAGCAGUGGGGAAUAUUGGACAAUGGGGGGCAACCCUGAUCCAGCCAUGCCGCGUGGUGUGAAGAAGGCCUCGGUUGUAAG
rnacentral:rRNA from 1 species